rnacentral:rRNA from 1 species
GCCGCGUGUGUGAAGAAGGCCUUCGGGUUGUAAAGCACUUUCAGUCGUGAGGAAGGUAGUGUGUUUAAUAGAUGCAUUAUUUGACGUUAGCGACAGAAGAAGCACCGGCUAACUCCGUGCCAGCAGCCGCGGUAAUACGGAGGGUGCGAGCGUUAAUCGGAAUUACUGGGCGUAAAGCGCAUGCAGGUGGUGUGUUAAGUCAGAUGUGAAAGCCCGGGGCUCAACCUCGGAAUAGCAUUUGAAACUGGCAGACUAGAGUACUGUAGAGGGGGGUAGAAUUUCAGGUGUAGCGGUGAAAUGCGUAGAGAUCUGAAGGAAUACCGGUGGCGAAGGCGGCCCCCUGGACAGAUACUGACACUCAGAUGCGAAAGCGUGGGGAGCAUACAGUAUUAGAUACCCUGGUAGUCCACGCCGUAAACGAUGUCUACUUGGAGGUUGUGGCCUUGAGCCGUGGCUUUCGGAGCUAACGCGUUAAGUAGACCGCCUGGGGAGUACGGUCGCAAGAUUAAAACUCAAAUGAAUUGACGGGGGCCCGCACAAGCGGUGGAGCAUGUGGUUUAAUUCGAUGCAACGCGAAGAACCUUACCUACUCUUGACAUCCAGAGAACUUUCCAGAGAUGGAUUGGUGCCUUCGGGAACUCUGAGACAGGUGCUGCAUGGCUGUCGUCAGCUCGUGUUGUGAAAUGUUGGGUUAAGUCCCGCAACGAGCGCAACCCUUAUCCUUGUUUGCCAGCGAGUAAUGUCGGGAACUCCAGGGAGACUGCCGGUGAUAAACCGGAGGAAGGUGGGGACGACGUCAAGUCAUCAUGGCCCUUACGAGUAGGGCUACACACGUGCUACAAUGGCGCAUACAGAGGGCGGC